rnacentral:miRNA from 1 species
GAGAGAGAUGGGAUCAGACUGACAGAAGAGAGUGAGCAUACGUGGGCAGUUGUAUAAAGAGUAUGCAUUUGCAUAUACGUGUGCUCACUUCUCUUCCUGUCAUUUACUUUGUCUCUCUA